CGUUCCGUGUGCAGAGUGUGUGAGUUAGUGAUUUAAUUCCAUCCUUUCCAUCUCAUGAUGUGAUUUUUCCUUUAGGAUGAAUUAGUAACUUUGUGUGGAGGUGGCAGCACUACCUGCUGGUUGGUGUAAUGCCGUGCUUGACAGGGUGAUUUGCAAUUCCGAGUUUGUUUAAUGGCUUAAUGUCUAAGCACUCAUCCCCUUAUUCUGUUGUGUUGUUACCAACUUGGUUUGCAAGGAACAGACCUUCAUCUGUGUACAUCAAGAUUGCUAAUUGCCAGCUGAAGGGUGAUAGUAAAGCAUGAAGAUGCCUAAGCUUAUGAGGAAGCUGCAAACUGCGACCAAAAAUUCUCACUUCAGGGUACUCUCUCUCUCUCUCGAUCUCAAAGAGGAAACGAGGCAGCCACGGCCUCCUUGCCCCCCCCCCACCCCCCCUUCUCUCCCUCUCUCCC